UACGUAGGGGGCAUGCGUUAUCCGGAAUUACUGGGUGUAAAGGGAGCGUAGACGGUAAUGUAAGUCUGGAGUGAAAGGCGGGGGCCCAACCCCCGGACUGCUCUGGAAACUAUGAUACUAGAGUGCAGGAGAGGUAAGCGGAAUUCCUAGUGUAGCGGUGAAAUGCGUAGAUGUUAGGAGGAACACCAGUGGCGAAGGCGGCUUACUGGACUGUAACUGACGUUGAGGCUCGAAAGCGUGGGGAGCAAACAGG
rnacentral:rRNA from 1 species